rnacentral:lncRNA from 10 species
AUUUGUUAGUCCUGCAAAGGCAGACUGGUCCCCAGGCAAGAAGGGGGUCUUUUCAGUUAAGGACUAUUAACAAUUUUGUUUCAGAGUCAAACCAUGAACUGAAUUCCUUCCCAAAGUUAGUUCAGCCUACGCUGAGGAAUGAACAAGGACAGCUUAAAGAUUAGAAGCAACAUGGAACUGGAAACGUUAUAGCUGCAAAGACCACGUAGCGACAUGAAAAUUGGUUAUAAAGCAAUGCUAAGAGAACAAGGCAGAAGACAGACUUGAAACUAUGAUGGCACAUUUGGAAUAUGAAAAAAUAGAAAACUUUUGCUCUGUAAGGGUGGUAGAAGAAUGAAUUAUUACGUCAAAAACCUUCAGUGUCUUUGCAAAAGUAUUUUAUAAUAAAUAACGUGUGCAUGCACAAAUAGUCUCAUGUUUACUGCAUAAUAUGAUUUUCGGAGCUCAGUUUCUUUUUGUAAUGAGAUAAGACACAAAUAAAAUAGAUGGUGAUAUUGACAAAAAG